rnacentral:rRNA from 1 species
GAUGAACGCUGGCGGCGUGCCUAAUACAUGCAAGUCGAGCGAAAAGACGAGGAGAUUGCUCCUCUGACGUUAGCGGCGGACGGGUGAGUAACACGUGGAUAACCUACUUAUAAGACUGGGAUAACUUCGGGAAAACGGAGCUAAUACCGGAUAAUAUAUUGAACCGCAUGGUUCAAUAGUGAAAGAGGGUUUUGCUGUUACUUAUAGAUGGUUUCGCGCCGCAUUAGCUAGUUGGUAAGGUAACGGCUUACCAAGGCGACGAUGCGUAGCCGACCUGAGAGGGUGAUCGGCCACACUGGAACUGAGACACGGUCCAGACUCCUACGGGAGGCAGCAGUAGGGAAUCUUCCGCAAUGGGCGAAAGCCUGACGGAGCAACGCCGCGUGAGUGAUGAAGGUCUUCGGAUCGUAAAACUCUGUUAUUGGGGAAGAACAAAUGUGUAAGUAACUAUGCACGUCUUGACGGUACCUAAUCAGAAAGCCACGGCUAACUACGUG